rnacentral:tRNA from 1 species
GGCGCGUUGUUCGAGCUGGCAGUGAUGACCGGCAUGCGGCGCGGGGAGCUGGUCGGCCUGCGCUGGCGUGACGUUCGACUCGAUGGCGCAUCCCC